UUUGCCCGUACUGCUAAAUACGGCUAAUCAUUGGCCGUACGAUAGCUCGGGGCAUUUGUUUGUACGAAUUCUACGGGUAGAGAGCCAUGCGCGCUCUGAUAGUACUAACAAACGCAACAGAAAUGGCCAAUCUAGGAAUGGCCCCUCCCUGCUCUCUGCAGUGUCAAACUCUAAGCAUCCAUAUCGGGGCACCCGCCUUGAGCUAAUCCAAAUCCAUAAUAUCAUAUUCAAAUAUCAAAAAUUUAAUGUAGAAUGAAAAAAAUAUGAUACUAUUGAAAAGAUACGUUCUCAACCAGUGACGAAGCCAACGUGGAGUUAGAAGGGCCAUUCCCCUUCCC
rnacentral:lncRNA from 1 species